rnacentral:misc_RNA from 1 species
AAGUCGUAACAAGGUUUCCGUAGGUGAACCUGCGGAAGGAUCAUUACCGAGUUCUCGGGCUUCGGCUCGAAUCUCCCACCCUUUGUGAACAUACCUCUGUUGCUUUGGCGGCUCUUUGCCGCGAGGAGGCCCUCGCGGGCCCCCCCGCGCGCUUUCCGCCAGAGGACCUUCAAACUCCAGUCAGUAAACGUCGACGUCUGAUAAACAAGUUAAUAAACUAAAACUUUCAACAACGGAUCUCUUGGUUCUG